rnacentral:rRNA from 1 species
UAACACAUGCAAGUCGAGCGGUAAGGCCCUUCGGGGUACACGAGCGGCGAACGGGUGAGUAACACGUGGGUGAUCUGCCCUGUACUUCGGGAUAAGCCUGGGAAACUGGGUCUAAUACCGGAUAUGACCUUACAUCGCAUGGUGUUUGGUGGAAAGAUUUAUCGGUACAGGAUGGGCCCGCGGCCUAUCAGCUUGUUGGUGGGGUAAUGGCCUACCAAGGCGACGACGGGUAGCCGGCCUGAGAGGGCGACCGGCCACACUGGGACUGAGACACGGCCCAGACUCCUACGGGAGGCAGCAGUGGGGAAUAUUGCACAAUGGGCGAAAGCCUGAUGCAGCGACGCCGCGUGAGGGAUGACGGCCUUCGGGUUGUAAACCUCUUUCGACAGGGACGAAGCGCAAGUGACGGUACCUGUAGAAGAAGCACCGGCCAACUACGUGCCAGCAGCCGCGGUAAUA